CAACAAAACUCAAAAUUCAGUUACACUAGCAGCAAGCUUUAUAGAGAAUUAAUGGCUGAUGAUGAAAACAAGGAGAAGAGUCGGAGCACCAAAAGCUAACAUUCUAAUUCUAUGGCCAUUAGCAUCCCUCUAUGGUAAAUCAAGUGUCCUCAGAUGAUUAAAAUUCUAUUAGUCUUCUACAACUACAUGGAGGAUAAUAGAUGCGAAGUAGUAGCUAGAUAGAUGAAGGAUCAUAGAUGCCAAGUAGUAACUAGAUGGAAGCAAGAUCUUCACAAAGAAUGGGGUUUCAUCAGGUGAUUUCCCUAGUAUUUGAAAGCAGAAAAUAGUAAAAUCAUGCAAAACAGUUUCGUGCCAUUUGGCUAUUAAGAGGUUAUACAAUUAUAAUCUUAACUAAGUCCAUUGUGAACCUUACUCUUGAAGUACUAGAUAGGUAUUAAGAGAGCUCAAACCAAAGCCGAAAGCAAACUAUUCAUUUAAAUUGUGACAAGUACCAUAUGAUAGGCAAGAAUAACCAUCAGCCCAGCAUAUUCUCCAGCAGCACCAGCAUUAGGCUGCAAGGAGAAGGAAUCAAAACCUGUAAUUGUACACAAUAGGUCACCCAAAUCUUUGAACAUUUCCUGCAAAAGAAAGCAUGUAACAGUCUUGAUUAUUUCUUCUGUUUCUGCAUUAUAAUUAGCAAACACAGCAAUGCAUCUAAGCAGUAACAACCUGAUAGCCAGCAGCCUGUUCGGUGGGUGCAAAAGGGUGAAUAUUUGUGAAGUUAGGCCAUGUCACUGGCAUCAUCUCUGUUGUGGCAUUCAAUUUCAUUGUGCAGGAUCCCAAAGGAAUCAUGCUAUGGCACAGGGAAAGGUCCUUCGAUUGCAGCUUAUGAAGGUAUCUCAGCAACUCGUGCUCAGUAUGGUACCUGAAUCAUCAUUGUAAAAGUUAAACUAGCAGUAAUCGUACAGUACAAAGAUGGUCAAAACCAUUGACGGAGGCCUUACGAGUUGAAUAUUUGGUGAGUCAAAUAUGGAGUCUCCCUUACAAGUCCAGAAGGAAUCAGAUUCUCGACUUCUUGGGCAAUUGAUUGAGCAGUGAACGUGACCUAUUAACGGGAUCAAAGAUAAGAAUACACUAUGUAGGCAUUGAGUUGCUACCAGCAGCAUGGAUAAGGAAGUAAUGAUACUCACUGGCUUUCCCAAGGCAAAUACUUUAAAUAGAUUGUCCACGUCUUCUAAGGUAGUAGUUUCAUCAAAAGAUACAGUUAUCUGAAAAAAAUGGAGUUUCAGUUAAUUAUAACAUAAAUUUAGGACUAUCUAUAAGCUUAUAAACCAAAACAAGAAAAACUAGCUAGACUUACAGUAUUGUUGUCCACAACCCUCAAGUUAAUUUCAUUCUUGUAAGCAACAUCAGCAAUUGCUUUUGCAUCAGCACACUUAACCUUCACAGUGUCAAAGAAUGGAAGAUCCUGAACUUCUACUGUUCCUAUCUUUUUGACCCCGGCAGCAAGCGUUCCGGCAAGACCAUGAACACGUUGGGCAAUGGUUUUUAGCCCCUCCGGUCCGUGAUAGACAGCAUACAUGGCAGCCAUGUUCGCAAGCAAGGCCUAAUAGGAAAAGUACAAUAUCAUAAACCAAUGCAGGAAAAUAAGUAGCAUAACGUCGUGCAUCAGAGCAUUCCCGUGCACGAAUGAGAGACAGAUAGUUUCUUGAAAGAAAAACAAACUAGCUAGUUACUUCUUGUUACUCUCUACCACUCAUGUCUAGACAACGCAUUGCAUACAAGCAGAAAAGUAAACAUUUUUCAAACCACUUAAAAUUUUCACUACUACAGUAUAAGUAUAAGAAUGUUGUGUAUUAGAGAAUCUAGGAGGAUAAAUAUCGGAAUUGCAUACAUAAUUUUUUGAAACAGUUGAUGAAACAUUAGUUCAGUCAGUACCUGUGCUGUGCAAAUGUUGCUUGUAGCCUUGUCCCUGCGGAUGUGUUGUUCCCUGGUCUGCAUUGCCAUACGGAGAGCGGGUUUCCCUGAAGAAUCAACACUGACACCAAUAAUUCUUCCGGGCAUCAUUCUCUUGUAUUCUUGAGAAGUGGCCAAGAAAGCCGCAUGAGGGCCACCAUAACCCAUAGGCACUCCAAACCUCUGAGCAGAACCAACAACAAUAUCCGCUCCGAGUUCACCGGGUGGUUUCAACAUUGUCAAGGCCAAAAGAUCAGACGCCAUAACAACCUUCACUCCAUGAGCAUGUGCAUUCUUAAUAAACUCCCCAUAAUCCAAGAUUUCACCUUCAGUUCCCGGAUACUGAACUAGUACCCCACAAACAUCACCAGAUUUAUAAUCAAUGUCCUUAAGAUCAACAGUCUCUACCUUAAUCCCAAAUCCAUCAGCUCUAGUCUUACAAAUAUCGAUAGUCUGAGGGUGACAAUUGCUAGCAAUAAGGAAAGUUUUCUUUUUCCCCUUGAAAAUAUUAUUACACAUGGCCAUAGCCUCAGCUGCCGCGGUCCCUUCAUCUAGUAAAGAUGCAUUGGACAUUGGCAAACCAGUAAGAUCUGUAAUCAUGGUCUGAUAAUUAAGCAGGGACUCGAGACGUCCCUGCGAAAUCUCAGCCUGAUAAGGAGUAUACUGAGUAUACCAAGCAGGAUUCUCCAUAAUAUUCCUCAAAAUAACAGGUGGUACAAAAGUGUUAUAAUAUCCCAUCCCAAUAUAUGACUUGAAAACCUUAUUCAUUGAGGCUAAUUUGGACAUGUGCUCAAUCAUUUGUGCCUCAGUUAAUCCCUCAUCAAACUUAGAAAACUUCAUGGAUUCAAUACGAAUAGAUUGAGGGACAGUGGCAUCAAUAAGGGAAUCAAGGCUUGAAAAACCACAAAACUCAGCCAUUUGGGUUUGUUCUUGUGGGGUGGCUGAGUUGUGUCGCCUUGGGAAAGUGUCACUUGGCUUCAGUGCCUCAACAGAUAUUGAUCUAACAUGUUGCUUAUUGAAAUUACCAUUUCCAUGCAACAUAUUCUUACCAUUUCUAGCCUGAAAUAUGUAAGGUGACAAUGAAGAAACAUACCUUGAAGGUCUGUAUAAUGCUGCAGAUGAUGGGAUAUCAUUAGCACGGCUCUGUUUUGAUUCUGAAACCAAGCGUUUCAGAAUUGCUCUGUUUGCCAAUUUUCUAGCACGGUCCAUUUUCUUGGCCAAAAGCUAAUCUUGGUUU
rnacentral:lncRNA from 1 species